rnacentral:tRNA from 1 species
GGGCGAUUAGCUCAGUGGGAGAGCACUGCCUUCACACGGCAGGGGUCACUGGUUCGAACCCAGUAUCGCCCACCA